rnacentral:lncRNA from 1 species
UUUCCUCUUGGGUGGAUCUCAAAAGGCGGAUAAAGAUCGUGAAAUGGCCAGCCUUCUCAAGGAUUUUGGUGACGUUGGUGAUGCCGUGUGGUGCAGCAGCCUGUGUUGGGGUUGCGACUGGAGGUUGUGCUACGACUACUGCUGGUGCCUGUGCUGGGGCUGCUGUUGGUGACUGGGCAAAGGUAUUGAUAUAACACAGGGAAAGAAGAAGCAUUGAAAAUGAGAAGAUUGAGUACUGUUGCUUCAUCUUUAAGUUUCCACGGUAUAAUGCUAGAGAUAAUUAAAAAAUGCUAACGCAAAUUGAGUUCGAUCUUAGUUGGAAGUGUUUGAUGUCUGAAGAAGAGACAGAGUGAGCUUUUAUAGAAGUGGACAGAGGAUCAAACUAGGUGCAAUGUACGAGUUUAGUUAUACAACUUGGUUGCUAGUACCUAUUUUGCUCUGAAAGGUGGAGGGUCAUCAAUGGAUGGGUUUUUUAACAAUGCUGCAGCAACUACUUGGCUUGGAAAAGAAGGAAAAAAUUUCUAAAAAGCAGAUUUCCAGUGGUGUGACAGUAAAUAAAGAUGUCCAUGAUUGUCGAAAUUAUAUUUUAGAAUCAUCACUGUCAGAACAUUUGAGGAUACUUCUUAACUUAAAAAAAAAAAUCUUCUGUCAUGGCAGAAGAUUUGGACAAGCAAUCUUAACGGAACCAUCUUUCUAUAUCUAAAACAGCUAUGGCUCCUUCAGCAUAAUAGAAUGAAUCUUUACUUCCCUGAAUCCAUGACAGACAUCGAUAGACUAACUUUCCAAAUUUACACAGAAAUCAAAUCUCACCUAGACCAUCACUUAAAACAACACAAUCAAGCAACACCUACCUUAUGUACUUGAUUUGAUGUUCGUGGCAAGCCUUCUUUCAAGGUUUAUGCAAUCUCCAGGGGAGAUGCAUUUUAGGGCAGCAAAUAUGUCCUAAUACAUGUUAGGGGAACACUGAUUUUAGAGUAUGGUUUGAAGCUACUGCAGAUGCAGAAUUGACAGCCUACACAGAUGGUGAUUGGCUCGUUCAUUUGAUGAUAUGUAGAGCACAACAUGUUAUGAGUUCAAUUUCGGUUCAGGUGCAUUUUAUUGGAUGACCAACAAGCAAAAACAAUGGCACAAACCACUGCAGAAGCAGAGUACAUAGCUGCAGCAGCUACAGUGUGAAGCAACGACAAUUGAAAUUGAUAACAACUCAGCCAUUGCAAUUGUGAAAAAUCAUGCAAGUCAUGUCAAAACCAAGCAUAUCUAAGUGAAGUUCCAUUUAGUUCAUGAUGUAUAAAAAGCUAAUGAGGCGACCUUAAUCUACUGUGAAGCAGAAAAUCAACUUGAAGAUAUAUUCGUUAAAACUCUUUCUCAAGCCAGAUUUGAAUUUGUCAGGAACAAGCUUGGAUUAUCAAGAAGUCGUCUCAAGGAGGAAUGUCAUACCAAUUUUGAUACUUUUUCUACAUACUUAGUGCAUGUUCUGUAGCAAUCUACUGAUAUUUUGUAAAAAGUAUUGCUGAAGUAAACCUGCUGAAAAUCAUGUGAGGGCAGGUCCCAGUAGUCAAGGGGUGGUGUUGUGAUCCUUGGAUGGCAUUAGGUGGAGUUUUUCUUGAAAGAAAGUUAUAGUAAUCAAAUACUUCUGCGCAUAUAUAAAUGAUAAUGUCAGAUGUGGUAGUACGAAAAAACAAACCGGUUUACAAAAUCAGCAAAGCACUAUCAGUCUUGCUAUCUAUAAUUUCUCUGCUGCAAACAUUCUUGUUGGUCACAAAACCAGCAGUUAUGAAAUUGGAGAGAACCUGAACCUGAUGUUGGCUUAAACUGGAGAAAGAUUCAUUAAGAUAAAACUUUAAAGGCUCCAUUGUAAGCGCAAUGUGCAGGUUAUUUCACAUACAGAUUGGCAAAACUUCAAGUAAAUUAGCUGUACCAUGCAGAUCCAACUUCGAGCACUCAUUUUGUAACUCAAAAUCCUUGAGAUUGCUGAGAGAACUUCCAAAAAUAAACACCACUCAAUGCAAGCAUCUGCGUAUAAUAACAAACUUUCAUGAAAAGCUGUCAUCAAGAACAAUAUAAGUAUUAUCCUACAUUUGCACAAGCAACCAUCUGCAUAUAAUAAGACAAUAGCUCACUAGUUAUACAAAAUUCACAAUGAAAUAUCUGUUUUCACCGUUGUCCUACAAAAUGAAUGAAUUAAUGUGUAGCACUAGCUUAUCUCUAGCUUCAAAACAUCAAUACUUCAAGAAGAAGGAACGAAAAGAAAAGGAUUAUCUUAAUCCUGCAGGGCAGAGCAGUAAGGUGCUUCGCAUGAGCAAGUAACCCAAAACACUAAUCUCCAAUGCUUAAUAUGCUCUUUUCUGUCCAAUAAUGAAUACUUGUUUCAAUCAAACCUGAUAAAUCCUUGAAAUACUACCUACCUAGUACCUACCUUCAAUUGAAUCAUCUCCAACAGCCCACGAUUUGGACAAGUAACCUCAACCUCAAGUGAUGCAUUCUUUUUAGUGAAGGAACUAAGCUUUAGCUCCUGAAACUUUACAGAACAGAACUUUACAUUCUUCAUUCCUUACAACCUUCAACAGAUAAUCUUUUCAAAUAUACAAACACAGAAAUCAAAUCACCCACAAAUUUGAAGAAAACAUCAUUCAAGAAACACUGACCUCAGGGACCUAAGCCCCAAAGAGGCAAUUGGUUUAUCUAACCAAAAGCUAGGAAAUAAGUAGACGACACCAGGGUUACAGUGAGGAAAAAAAAUGAAAUUUGACAGAUCAAGUAUAUAUAUUGCAACUUGAACAAGAAAUUAAAUGAAACCUCAAAAUUCCAUCUUAACCACAAGCUCAAAUCAUACAAACUGGAUUCAAAGUAAAAUCUGAAUUAUUCAAAUUUCAACAGGAAUCCAAAGUCAACAAAAUCAUGAAACAAAACCGGAACCAAGCCCAACAUAUCUCCUCUCAAGUUUCAAAACCCUUCUACAUGACAAGCAAACAUUGCAGCAGCAACUAUAACGAGUGAUCCAACAACCACAUUAUUAUGCAUAAACGUAACUGCGCUAGAUAUAUCCACAGGAGCAACAGGACUCUCUACAUUAGCAGCAGGAACCGCCUUAGUAGGUUUUUCUCGUGCAGGUGCCUGUACUGGUGCUGGAGCUGGAGCAUUGGAUCCAAAAAUGUCCUUAGGAAGUAGCACCUUCUCGAUCUUAUAAAUGGCUAGCUGGUUGUCCGUGUAAACCGUGCCAGAUAAACUUGUAUUGGUAAGUCCUGUGGUUAUGUUCACCGAGUUUGGAUAACUUGUGACAUUAAGUGGUAACCUACUACCUGUUCCAGCCCAUGUUCCAAGAGGAUUACUUACAGUCUGAAACUGGGAAGUGGAUAGGAACGUUGGAACUACGUGGAACUUCACCAACUCAGACUUGUCGCCAUCACUUAGAGUAUUGAGAGUUCCUGAUUUGAGUUCCGAAAAUGCACUAUCUGUGGGUGCAAAGAUGGUUAAACCAGUGUUGGAAUCAUUGAGCGCGGAGAACAAGUGGUUUUCCUCUUGGGUGGAUCUCAAAAGGCGGAUAAAGAUCGUGAAGUGGCCAGCCUUCUCAAGUAUUUUGGUGACGUUGGUGAUGCCGUGUGGUGCAGCAGCCUGUGUUGGGGUUGCGACUGGAGGUUGUGCUACGACUACUGCUGGUGCCUGUGCUGGGGCUGCUGUUGGUGACUGGGCAAAGGUAUUGAUAUAACAAAGGGAAAGAAGGAGCAUUGAAAAUGAGAAGAUUGAGUGCUGUUGCUUCAUCCUUAUUUUUUUGGGAUAAAAUGCUCGAAACAAUUCAAAUAUACUAAUGCAAAUUGAUCUCAAUCAUAAAGUGUUUGAUGUGUAAAGAUGAGAUAGAGUGAGGUUUUUAUAGUAGUGGACAGAGGAUCAAGUUAGGUGCAAUAUACAAUUUUAGUUAUACAACUAGAUUGCUAGUACCUUAUCUCACUCCAAAAGCUGUAGGGUCAUCAAUGGAGAGGGAAAUUUAACAAUGCUGCAGCAACUACUUUCCUUGGAAAAGCAGGCAAAAAAAAAAGGUUCUAAAAGGUAGAUUUCAAGUGGCUGUGACAACAAAUAAAGAUGUCCAUGAUUGUGAAUCAUCACUAGCAGAACAGCUGAGCAUGCUUCUUAACAUCAAAACAAAUCAUCUAUAAUGACAGAAGAUUUAGACAAGCGAUCUAAACUGACCUUUGUAUCGUAAAUAGCCAAGUCUUUGCUCUUUUAGCUUAAAAGAACGAAUAUUUACAUCCUUAAUCCUUGACAGACAUUGAUAGAUCACUAAUUUUCUAGAUUCGCACGCUCAGAAAUCAAAUCUCACACCAGACCAUCACUUAACACAACUUCAUGAAGAAACACUUACCUUAUGUACAUGAGCCCGUAGAGGUCAUGCUAUUGAUAAAAGUGAUUUUGCAGUAUGCAAACGCAAGUCUUGAAACUUUAAGAUAGCCAUUUCGAAGUAAAAGGAAUUGUGUUCUUUUACAUGAUGUUGAAUGGCAUAAUAGUCUUUUAUUCAUGGAGAGGAUGAAAGAAAAGGCAAGGAGCAGAAAAUGUCUCAGUUGGUUACUGUCAUCCCCAGUGUUUUAUUUAUAGAAGGAAACAAACAUUACAGAAAAUGAAACACUAAAGAAACGUACUAGCUAUGUUCUCCUUUAUCAAAGGAGUUAUAUAACAAGCUAGUCUAAUCCUAGAUAAGCUUAAACAAAUGAAUUGAAAGAAACAUCCUAAUCUAGAUAAUGCUAUCAGCUAACAGAUAAAUAGCUAUCAGCUAACAAAUAGAUAACAAUGCAGUAGAUUACUACAAAGUAAUCCUGUUCCAGCUUUGGUACCAAACUUCAACACUCCUCCUUGGUUCCAAAGCUACACAUUCCAAUUCUUCCUCUCAGAUCUUCAAACAUGUUUCCUGUUUCUAGUUCAACUGCUGCUUUGAAUUUAACAAACUCAGCAAACACAUAAGAUUUUGAUUUGAGGCAAGGGAUUCUGUACUAGAGCUCAAGCCUUUUAUUCAUGUUAAACGUACUAGGAUGAAUGGAUCAUGCUUCCACCAAAACCAUGAUUUUCCUCCAUAAUGCAGCAAAUCAUAGAAGGGUUUUUCUGGCAGUCGUCUGUCACAUUCAGUUUAUGAAAAUUGUGAUAUAACCUCGACAAUUUUACUGAUUGGAAUCCACUUCCUCAAGCUUAAAGUAACAAUCCUAUGCUCUCUAACACUCUCUUUUCUCUAAUUAUCAACACCAGCAGUUUUGAAACAGGAGAAAAGAACUUAACCUGAUGUGGGAUUGCUUAAACUAGAGAAAAAUUCAUUCUGAGGAAACUUAAAAGGUUCCUGUGUGAGAGCAAUACAGCAGAUUUGUUCACAUUAAGUUUAGUAGAAGUUCAAGAGAUAACCUAGUAAAGGUAGUUCUGUUUCAGAAGCCUGAUUUCUUGAUAAUUAGCAUUUUCUACUCUUUUGCAUUAUGUUCAGCCUCGCAUUCAAAUGUUGUCAGCAGAACCAUAUAUAAUCUUACAGAUUAAAGAGAACAACAUUUUGAUUCCAACCACUUCAAAAACUUGUAAUGAAAUAUUUGCUUUCACCAUUGUCCUGCAACCUCCUUUUCCUUUCUCUCUACCCUCCUUAAUGCAUGCUUUGUCUUCCCUGAUCGUCAAAUAAUCAUCUCAAUCCAAUAACUUAAGUUAUUAGAUGAGAUUCCAAGAUAUGAUUUAUAUCAUUCUCUAACACACACCCCUCAAGUAAAAGUCAAUUAAGCUUGAAACUUGCACAUGCCCACACUAUCUUGUGCUUAAUUUUUAUCAAAUAAAUAGGGAUGGUGAGAUUCAAACUCAUGACUGUUUGGUCAUUAAAGUUCUGAUACCAUGUCAAAGAAUCAUCUCAUCUCAAUAGCUUAAGAUGUUAGGUAAGGUUCUAAGAUAUGAUUUAUAUUAUUCUCUAACACACCUCUUCAAGUGAAAGCCCUUUAGGCUUAAAACUUGUACAGGUCCGCACUACCUUGUACUUAAUUUUUAUCAAAUAAAUAGGGAUGGUGAGAUUUCAAGAUAUAAUUUAUAUAUUAUUCUCUAACAUAUCACUUCAAGUGAAAGGCCUUUGAACUUGAAACUUGCAUAGAUCCAUACUACCUUGUGCUUAAUUUUUAUCAAAUAAAUAGGGAUGGUGGGAUUCGAACUCAUGAUCGUUUGGUCAUCAAGACUCUGAUAUCAUGUCAAAGAACCAACUCAACUUAAUAACUUAAAUUGUUAAGUGAGGUUCUAAAAUUUUGAUUUAUAUUAUUCUCUAAUAAUAUCGUGAUAGUUUGCCCCGUGCUCACCCUUAUUAGCCGACAUCCCCAUAUCUCUGCAUCAGAAAAAUCUUCUUUCUGAGGGAAGUAAUCCGAUAAACCUUCCUCCAGAUCCAGUAAGUUAAUGUUCAAUAAAAAAACAUAGCAACAACUAGCAAGCAAAAACUACAACCUCUUAAUAUGACAUCUCAGCCGAAAAAUCUCCGAAACCUCCAAAAAUCUCACUCCAUUUACUCCUCCGAUAACUAGACUUCCAAGAAAUAGAACCACCAACACAACCACUAUUAUCUAAGAAACAGUUAGGGCAUGAUUCGAUGACACCAGGGUGAUCAUAAAAAAACAACAAAUGAAGUUUGACUAAUCAAGUACAUGUUUAGCAAUUUGAUCAAGAAAUUAAAUAAAACCUCGAAACCAUAACCUAAAAUCAUACAAACUGGAUUCAAAGUAAAAUCAGAAUUAUUCAACACACACCAAGCUUUCAAUCCAACUCAGAAAAUUUAGACGCUGCCGGACCCAACCCAGCUUAUCUCAUCUCGAGAUUCAAACCCUUUUACAUUAUAAAGCAAAGAUUGCAGCAGCAACUGCACCAACUGAUCCAACCACGUUAUUACGCGUGAACAUGACUGCGCCAGAUAUAUCCACUGGAGCAACAGGACUCUCAACAUUAGCUGCAGGAACUGCCUUAGUAGGCUUUUCUGGUGCGGGUGCUACUGGUGCUGGAGCUGGGGCCUUAGAAGCAAAAAUGUCCUUAGGAAGUAGCACCUUCUCAAUCUUAUAAAUGGCUAGCUGGUUGUCCGUGUAUACCGUGCCAGAUAAACUUGUAUUGGUAAGUCCUGUGGUUAUGUUCACCGAGUUUGGAUAACUUGUUACGUUAAGUGGUAACCUACUACCUGUUCCAGCCCAUGUUCCAAGAGGAUUACUUACAGUCUGAAACUGGGAAGUGGAUAGGAAUGUUGGAACUACGUGGAACUUCACCAACUCAGACUUGUCACCAUCACUUAGAGUAUUGAGAGUUCCUGAUUUGAGUUCCGAAAAUGCACUAUCUGUGGGUGCAAAGAUGGUUACACCAGAGCUUGAAUCAUUAAGCGCGGAGAACAAGUGGUUUUCCUCUUGGGUGGAUCUCAAAAGGCGGAUAAAGAUCGUGAAGUGGCCAGCCUUCUCAAGGAUUUUGGUGACGUUGGUGAUGCCGUGUGGAGCAGCUGCCUGUGUUGGAGUUGCGGCUGGGGGUUGUGCUACGACUACUGCUGGUGCCUGCGCUGGGGCUGCUGCUGGUGACUGGGCAAAGGUAUUGGUAUAGUGGAGGAAAAGAAGGAAAACUGAAAUGGAGGAGAUUGAGUACUGUUGCUUCAUCUUUAAGUUUCCAGGCUAUUCUACUAGAAACUAUAAAAAAAAUGCUUAUGUAAAUUGAGC